GACAGAGGGUGCAAACGUUGUUCGGAAUUACUGGGCGUAAAGCGUGUGUAGGCUGUCUUGUAAGUCGGAUGUGAAAGCCCCGGGCUCAACCCGGGAAGUGCAUUCGAAACUGCGAGGCUAGAGUAUCGGAGAGGUUGGUGGAAUUCUCGGUGUAGAGGUGAAAUUCGUAGAUAUCGAGAGGAACACCGGUGGCGAAGGCGGCCAACUGGACGAAUACUGACGCUGAGACACGAAAGCGUGGGGAGCAAACAGG
rnacentral:rRNA from 1 species